rnacentral:rRNA from 1 species
UGAUGACGAGACGCUAAGGCGUUGAAGCAGUGUAUGUCAGACUUCCAAGAAAAGCUCGCAAUGUCACAAAUAAAAAUUGCCUGUACCAUAACCGACACAGGUGGGUAGGUAGAGUAUACUAAGGGGCGCGAGAUAACUCUCUCUAAGGAACUCGGCAAAAUGACUCCGUAACUUCGGGAGAAGGAGUGCCUUAUUUAUAAGGUUGCAAUAACAAGAUCCAAGCAACUGUUUAUCAAAAACACAGGUCUCCGCUAAGUCGUAAGACGAUGUAUGGGGGCUGACGCCUGCCCAGUGCCAGAAGGUUAAAGAAGUUGGUUAGUGUAUGCGAAGCUGAUGACUGAAGCCCUGGUGAACGGCGGCCGUAACAAUAACGGUCCUAAGGUAGCGAAAUUCCUUGUCGGGUAAGUUCCGACCCGCACGAAAGGCGUAAUGAUUUGGAUACUGUCUCGGAGAGAGGCUCGGUGAAAUAGACUUGUCUGUGAAGAUGCGGACUACCUGCACCAGGACAGAAAGACCCUAUGAAGCUUUACUGUAACUUGAAAUUGGAAUUGGACUUUGCUUGCGCAGUAUAGGUGGGAAGCGUUGAAAAUAUUCUUGCGGGAGUAUUGGAGCUAUCAGUGAGAUACCACUCUUGUAAUGUUAGAUUUCUAACUUUGAACCAUAAUCUGGUCAAAGAACAGUUUCAGGUGGGCAGUUUGACUGGGGCGGUCGCCUCCCAAAUGGUAACGGAGGCGUACAAAGGUUUCCUCUGAACGGAUAGAAAUCGUAUCUAGAGUGUAAAGGCAUAAGGAAGCUUGACUGUGAGACCUACAAGUCGAGCAGGGACGAAAGUCGGUCUUAGUGAUCUGACGGUACUGAGUGGAAAGGCCGUCACUCAACGGAUAAAAGUUACUCUAGGAUAACAGGCUGAUCUCCCCCAAGAGUUCACAUCGACGGGGAGGUUUGGCACCUCGAUGUCGGCUCAUCGCAUCCUGGGGCGGUAGUACGUCCCAAGGGUUGGGCUGUUCGCCCAUGAAAGCGGUACGCGAGCUGGGUUCAGAACGUCGUGAGACAGUUCGGUCCAUAUCCGGUGUAGGCGCUAGAAUAUUGAGAGGAGCCUUCUUUAGUACGAGAGGGCCGAGAAGGACACACCGCUGGUGUACCAGUUAUCGUGCCAACGGUAAACGCUGGGUAGCUAUGUGUGGAGUGGAUAACCGCUGAAAGCAUCUAAGUGGGAAGCCCACCUCGAGAUGAG